AUUGAACGCUGGCGGCAGGCCUAACACAUGCAAGUCGAGCGGAUGAAGGGAGCUUGCUCCUGGAUUCAGCGGCGGACGGGUGAGUAAUGCCUAGGAAUCUGCCUGGUAGUGGGGGAUAACGUCCGGAAACGGGCGCUAAUACCGCAUACGUCCUGAGGGAGAAAGUGGGGGAUCUUCGGACCUCACGCUCUCAGAUGAGCCUAGGUCGGAUUAGAUAGUUGGUGGGGUAAAGGCCUACCAAGGCGACGAUCCGUAACUGGUCUGAGAGGAUGAUCAGUCACACUGGAACUGAGACACGGUCCAGACUCCUACGGGAGGCAGCAGUGGGGAAUAUUGGACAAUGGGCGAAAGCCUGAUCCAGCCAUGCCGCGUGUGUGAAGAAGGUCUUCGGAUUGUAAAGCACUUUAAGUUGGGAGGAAGGGCAGUAAGUUAAUACCUUGCUGUUUUGACGUUACCAACAGAAUAAGCACCGGCUAACUUCGUG
rnacentral:rRNA from 1 species